ensembl:lncRNA
UGACCGUUUCACGCAGACAGAGAAUUUUUAGGUAGACGGGCUAUAACACAAUCUUCUAAGUAAUCAUUCAACGACAACACUAAAGUUAUUUGUAACUCUGAUAGCUAUAUAUACCACCUUCCCAUUUUGUGUAUAAUUACAGUUUUGAGUGUUUUUAUAUAUUUGUAUUUGUCCAAAACAGCAUGACGUAUUAAAGAAAUAUUGUUCCAGAGCCAUUUUGUACCCACCACUUAUUUAACUUUUCUCAAAAAGGCUUGACCUUGCUCCCUGUCAUUCGGGAUCACUUGCGUGGACGUCGUGACAUCAGUGUUUUUUUUGCAAUGGUUCUUCAGUAAACGGACAAUAUGUUAGCAGCAAUAAACAUUUUUAGCAAGCCAAAACAAAAACAAAAGAAAAAGGAAAAAAGAGAACAAAUAGUGUACUGCUAAGCUCAAGUUGAUAAAGUCUUCUUUAAAGGAGCAGCAUGGGACGAGAAAGACUCAGUGAAUUGGCUAUACUCUCAAUAGAGAAAAGCAGAGCCAGGAGUUGGACUUGAGCAGUGUUGUUAAUGACUGCGCUGAGAGCAAGGCCCGUAGGGACGUCUAAUGGGGGAGUACAGGCUUCUCUUUGUCAUGGAGUGGGAUCAGGGAUUUAAAUCUGUAGCAAUGUAAUGGUUCCCUCUCUUAUGUUGGAGAAUGUGCACUUACUGUAGUCUGUGUCUGUUACAGCAUCUGGCCGCUGAGCCGCUGAUGAUUAAUGCAAGUGAUUGUGUGAUCAGGUGCCGUCGUCCAUUAAUUCAUGCGGUGUAGGCCUAUAAUGAGUUGCUGUGCUUUUCCUGAGGGCUAUUUGUUGUAUACUUCUCGACAUACUGUGGAAGAGACCUUUAUUGUUGAUUUGUUAGUGUAAGCUGGCUAAAGCUAUUUCCGAUGUUUUGGUAGUUGGAGAAAUUAGGCUGUGGUGGAGUCCAGGGCUGGCUGUUAGAUUAACAUUGAUACGGUUUCCCCCACCAUCAUAAAGACAUGCAUUGCAUCGUAUGAAUAGGAAUGAAUGUUGGUGGUGGUCGGAGGGGCCGUAGGCGCUGAUUGGCAGCCACGCUUCUGUCAGUCUGCCCCAGGGCAGCUGUGGCUACUGAGGUAGCUUACCACCACCGGUAUGACUGUGUAUGAAUGACUACUGGACUCUGGACUCUGUAAAGCGACUUAGGGUAUUUAGAGAAGCGCUAUAUAAGAUUGAAUUGAUUGAUUGAUUGACACAUUUGGUAAGAAAAAGUAUGUGCACCAGGGCCAAUCCCAAUUCUGUUCCACUACUGUGAAGCACCGAUGGAGGGCAGUGGAGAGGGUGGAGCCUGUGUUAGUUUAGGGGAGGAGGAACAGGAGAGAGGGUGGAGCCUGUGUUCGUUUAGGGGAG